AGCGGACCGCGCCCACUCUCCGCCGCUGCUGGCCGCAGUCCACAUCUGUGACUGAGGACGUGAGCUGCUUUAAAGACCAGUGGACCCAGGGAUCGCGGGAACUUAGUUCUCAUUUACGCACAGUGAUGUCAUCGCGCUGCCAUGCAUGCUGAGAGUGUGUGACAUCACAGUGUGCCCGGCCUCCAGUGGCCUGACUACGCAGGCAAGGAGCUGUGGGCUGAUAUGAUUCCUGCUCAGGCGGUCUCUAUCCGUCAGGUAGGACGGCAGAAAAACAUUGAGACAGGAAGGCCCUGCAGAGGGUGACCAGGACAGCGGAGAAGAUGACUGGCCGCCCGCCGCCCUCCCUAGAAGACAUUGCUCGCUUACCCUGGUCAGCACCUGCUGCCAUCAGGGAAGAGAUUUCGGUCACACCAGCAGGAUAAAGAGAGUUAAAAAGUAUUUUUACUCGUGGGCCAUUAGGAUACUUAAUCGGUCCCAAUAGCUUACAAUGUUUUUCACUGCUGCACUGCUGUUCAUACCGGUAUUUAUUUUUGACAUGUUAUUUAUUGUUUGUCUUGUAUUUUAACUGCACUUAACAGAGUAGCCACCUGUAAUUGUGUCAUGCUCUCAUGU